UUUGGUUAUCUGCGUUCCUGGCAUCCUCCCAACCAUGUUGAAUUACUGCCAUUCCUUCACAUCUGGAAUUCUUUCUCUUGCCCUGUCGGACUAUUACCUCAUUUUACCUUGAUUGGACUUACAACCACAGUUUUUGUUCACCA